rnacentral:lncRNA from 1 species
UUGUAGACCAGGCUAUAAUAAUUAUCAAAGACCAUAGACCAUAACCUCACACCAAACCCAACACUUUCAAUUACUGAAGGAGGGGAGAUUGAAACACAAGCCAAGUCACCGAAUUCACUCCUUGCAGACUUGGUCCAUGGCAUACAGCAAUGUCGAGGCAAUACCAUGUUUCGGAAAAAUCUUCAUGCAGACAUAGUUUCAAAAAUUGUGGAGGGCCAAGCUAGAUGGGGUGUCAUAAAAAACCGC